rnacentral:rRNA from 1 species
CCUACGGGAGGCAGCAGUGGGGAAUAUUGCACAAUGGGCGAAAGCCUGAUGCAGCAACGCCGCGUGAGCGAUGAAGGCCUUCGGGUCGUAAAGCUCUGUACUCAAGGAAGAUAAUGACGGUACUAGAGGAGGAAGCCGCGGCUAACUACGUGCCAGCAGCCGCGGUAAUACGUAGGGGGCUGGCGUUAUCCGGAGUUACUGGGCGUAAGGGGUGCGUAGGUGGUUUCUUAAGUCAGAGGUGAAAGGCUACGGCUCAACCGUAGUAAGCCUUUGAAACUGGGGAACUUGAGUGCAGGAGAGGAGAGUGGAAUUCCUAGUGUAGCGGUGAAAUGCGUAGAUAUUCGGAGGAACACCAGUUGCGAAGGCGGCUCUCUGGACUGUAACUGACACUGAGGCACGAAAGCGUGGGGAGCAAACAGGAUUAGAUACCCGAGUAGUC